rnacentral:rRNA from 1 species
GGUUCGAUCAUGGCUCAGUUGAACGCUGGCGGGAUGCUUUACACAUGCAAGUCGAACGGCAGCACGGACUUCGGUCUGGUGGCGAGUGGCGAACGGGUGAGUAAUGUAUCGGAACGUGCCUAGUAGCGGGGGAUAACUACGCGAAAGCGCAGCUAAUACCGCAUACGCCCUUCGGGGGAAAGCGGGGACCUUCGGGCCUCGCACUAUUAGAGCGGCCGAUAUCGGAUUAGCUAGUUGGUGGGGUAACGGCUCACCAAGGCGACGAUCCGUAGCUGGUUUUGAGAGGACGACCAGCCACACUGGGACUGAGACACGGCCCAGACUCCUACGGGAAGCAGCAGUGGGGAAUUUUGGACAAUGGGGGAAACCCUGAUCCAGCCAUCCCGCGUGUGCGAUGAGGCCUUCGGGUUGUAAAGCACUUUUGGCAGGAAAAGCAGCACGGGAUAUUACCCCGUGCAACUGACGAAACACCUGCAGAAUAAGCACCGGCUAACUACGUGCCAGCAGCCGCGGUAAUACGUAGGGUGCAAGCGUUAAUCGGAAUUACUGGGCGUAAAGCGUGCGCAGGCGGUUCCGGAAAGAAAGAUGUGAAAUCCCAGAGCUUAACUUUGGAACUGCAUUUUUAACUACCGAGCUAGAGUGUGUCAGAGGGAGGUGGAAUUCCGCGAUAGCAGUGAAAUGCGUAGAUAUGCGGAGGAACACCGAUGGCGAAGGCAACCUCCUGGGAUAACACUGACGCUCAUGCACGAAAGCGUGGGAGCAAACAGGGAUUAGAUACCCUGGUAGUCCACGCCUAAACGAUGUCAACUAGCUGUUGGGGCCUUCGGGCCUUGGUAGCGCAGCUAACGCGUGAAGUUGACCGCCUGGGGAGUACAGUCGCAAGAUUAAAACUCAAAGGAAUUGACAGGACCCGCACAAGCGGUGGAUGAUGUGGAUUAAUUCGAUGCAACGCGAAAAACCUUACCUACCCUUGACAUGUCUGGAAUCCCGAAGGGUUGGGAGUGCUCGCAAGAGAACCGGAACACAGGUGCUGCAUGGCUGUCGUCAGCUCGUGUCGUGAGAUGUUGGGUUAAGUCCGCAACAGGCGCAACCCUUGUCAUUAGUUGCUACGAAGGGCACUCUAAUGAGACUGCCGGUGACAAACCGGAGGAAGGUGGGGAUGACGUCAAGUCCUCGCAUGGCCCAUAUGGGUAGGGCUUCACACGUCAUACAAUGGUCGGGACAGAGGGUCGCCAACCCCGCGAGGGGAGCCAAUCCCAGAAACCCGAUCGUAGUCCGGAUCGCAGUCUGCAACUCGACUGCGUGAAGUCGGAAUCGCUAGUAAUCGCGGAUCAGCAUGUCGCGGUGAAUACGUUCCCGGGUCUUGUACACACCGCCCGUCACACCAUGGGAGUGGGUUUACCAGAAGUAGUUAGCCUAACCGUAAGGAGGGCGAUUACCACGGUAGGAUUCAUGACUGGGGUGAAGUCGUAACAAGGUAG